UCAGCUUUUUCGGCCUUUUGGCUAAGAUCAAGUAUAAUAUAUAUUCUUAUCAUUUUAAUAUAUGAUUUCAUGAUAUUAACUCUAU
rfam:Eutrema salsugineum unplaced genomic scaffold scaffold_12, whole genome shotgun sequence.